GGGCGUAAGCGCGCGCAGGCGGUUUCUUAAGUCUGAUGUGAAAGCCCACGGCUCAACCGUGGAGGGUCAUUGGAAACUGGGGAACUUGAGUGCAGAAGAGAAAAGCGGAAUUCCACGUGUAGCGGUGAAAUGCGUAGAGAUGUGGAGGAACACCAGUGGCGAAGGCGGCUUUUUGGUCUGUAACUGACGCUGAGGCGCGAAAGCGUGGGGAGCAAACAGGAUUACAUACCCUGGUAGUCCACGCCGUAUACGAUGAGUGCUAAGUGUUCGAGGGUUUCCUGCCCUUU
rnacentral:rRNA from 1 species